rnacentral:lncRNA from 1 species
GUAGGCAGCAAACAAGGAAGAGUUUGCAAACUACAUCUCGAAGGACGUUUUGUUUGUGUGUUGUCGUUUCUUGCGUUCCAUCUGGGAGGCUCUGUUGAUGUGUAUGGCUACCUGUAAGAGAGCACUGAUGAAGAAUGGAGAAGAUGUAAAAUAGAGCUCGCCAAAGGUUUUAAAAAUAAAUCAAGAGCUUCCGGUGUUAAUGUAGAACAACACUUCCCUUCUGAAAGUCCAGAGCCAGAGCCCCUAAAAAGAACACUGCCCAGGACUGUAAAGGAUAUGAAAAAGGAACCACAUCACCAUGAGAGUGUGGAGGGGGAACACUUACUCCCUGCAAAGCUGUUUUCAAGACAGGCUACUUGUGUCAUGUAGGGUGGAAAGAAAUGAGUGAAUGAAGGCAGAAGCGCCCAGAAAGAAGGUCAGGUAUGGUACACUAAAUCACUGUAUCCAAUAAUUAAGGAAUUUAAUGAUAAGAAUAUGGGAAGACGGUGGACCAGGAAGUACCUGAAAUCUAUCUCCCCACCUAGAAAAUUACAUUGGCAAAAUUUCUCUCAUGCAACUUUUUUGGAUCUGUGGAGCUCAUUGAAGGCAUGUACCUAUUUAUUGCUUAGACAAACUACUAGACAACAAACUGAGAUAAACUUUAUUCAAUUUUACCUCUCAGCAUGGUAAAAGCUAAGCAUAACCACCCCAGUACCUUGCAUACAGCUUGCUGGAGCCAGGGUGAACAACAGGGAGCCGCUCUUCUACAGACCUGAGA